CAGCAGCCACGGUAAUGCGUAGGUGGCAAGCGUUGUCCGGAAUUAUUGGGCGUAGAGCGCGCGCAGGCGGUUUCUUAAGUCUGAUGUGAAAGCCCCCGGCUUAACCGGGGAGGGUCAUUGGAAACUGGGAGACUUAGAGUGCAGAAGAGGAGAGUGGAAUUCCAUGUGUAGCGGUGAAAUGCGUAGAUAUAUGGAGGAACACCAGUGGCGAAGGCGACUCUCUGGUCUGUAACUGACGCUGAGGCGCGAAAGCGUGGGGAGCAAACAGGAUUAGAUACCCCCGUAGCCCUGUCUCUUAUAC
rnacentral:rRNA from 1 species